UGGCUCGCGAGAGUAUUGCGUAGGCCUUUGCUUCGAGAGAGAAGCUUCAGUUCGCAGCAAUAUCCUCCGCAAAACUUUCCCCGGCUAUGCAAAAAA
ensembl:miRNA mir-242 miscRNA